CACCGCCCGUCACGCCAUGGAAGUUGGUUCUACCUGAAGACUGUGCGCUAACCGCAAGGGAGCAGCAGGCCACGGUAGGGUCAAUGACUGGGGCG
rnacentral:rRNA from 1 species